CACCAUUACCAAUAACAGGGGAGGUUAGCAUGUCUUGGAGAUAUGAUCUAACCUCUCACCAUUACCAAUAACAGGGGAGGUUAGCAUGUCUUGGAGGUAUGAUCUAACCUCUCACCAUUACCAAUAACAGGGGAGGUUAGCAUGUCUUGGAGGUAUAAUCUAACCUCUCACCAUUACCAAUAACAGGGGAGGUUAGCAUGUCUUGGAGGUAUAAUCUAACCUCUCACCAUUACCAAUAACAGGGGAGGUUAGCAUGUCUUGGAGAUAUGAUCUAACCUCUCACCAUUACCAAUAACAGGGGAGGUUAGCAUGUCUUGGAGGUAUGAUCUAACCUCUCACCAUUACCAAUAACAGGGGAGGUUAGCAUGUCUUGGAGGUAUGAUCUAACCUCUCACCAUUACCAAUAACAGGGGAGGUUAGCAUGUCUUGGAGGUAUAAUCUAACCUCUCACCAUUACCAAUAACAGGGGAGGUUAGCAUGUCUUGGAGGUAUGAUCUAACCUCUCACCAUUACCAAUAACAGGGGAGGUUAGCAUGUCUUGGAGGUAUGAUCUAACCUCUCACCAUUACCAAUAACAGGGGAGGUUAGCAUGUCUUGGAGGUAUGAUCUAACCUCUCACCAUUACCAAUAACAGGGGAGGUUAGCAUGUCUUGGAGGUAUGAUCUAACCUCUCACCAUUACCAAUAACAG